AAUAAUAUAUAUAAAUUAAUUUAUUAUUAUAAACUUUACUCAUUUUUUUGGUCAUUAUUUUUUUUUAAAUCUAGUAUGAAAUUUCUAGCAAAUAUUAUUGCCUGUCUGGUUAUUCUAGGCUUAGUUGAUCAUAUUUCAAGAAUCAAUGGUUCUCACGAAUGUCAUUUACCAAUGGAUGUUGGACCAUGCAAAAAUUAUAUUGAAAGGUGGUAUUACAACGCUGGAGAAAGAAAAUGUUUACCAUUUAACUAUGGGGGUUGUUACGGAAAUUCAAAUAAUUUUUCAUGCAGGGGAAAUUGUCAAAGGGCUUGCGUUAGAUAACUAAAGCGUUAACUUCUAACUAAAAAUUAUAUUUCCAUAUUACAUAUUACAAAAUGAUUAUCUCUAUAUAUUAUAAACUCAAAAUUCUAUAUUUUUCCUACACUUUUAUUAAUAUGAUAUUCAAAAUUUAUAAAUUUACAUUAUCAAACAAGUUAUAAAAAGUAGAAACUUUUGCAGUCAUUAUUUUUAUCGUAAUUCACACCUCUCUAAGCCUAUACUAUGUGUUAUGGUUAUUAAUGCCUAGAAAUAAAAUAGAAAGAAAAUUAAACCAUAAUAUCUAAUUCCUUUAUUAAAUACUAUUAAUUAUAAAUUAACCAAUUACGAAUUAAUAUAAAAUGAAAAUGAAAAAGAUUAAAAAUUAAGAAAAUUAUAUGCGAAAAUAAAAGUAAGGUAUGAAAAAUCUACAAUUAUCACGCGUUUUCAUCUCAUUUGCAUAGUCUAAAACUUAAAUAAUAAAGUAAUAAUUAUAAUAAAACAUUAUUUUUGUUUGAAUAUUAUCACAAUUUGAAUAAAAGAUUUUUUUGUAUUUCUGAGGUU